AGAGUUUGAUCCUGGCUCAGGACGAACGCUGGCGGCGUGCUUAACACAUGCAAGUCGAACGGGGUGUUUAUUUCGGUAAACACCAAGUGGCGAACGGGUGAGUAACGCGUAAGCAAUCUACCUUCAAGAUGGGGACAACACUUCGAAAGGGGUGCUAAUACCGAAUGAAUGUAAGAGUAUCGCAUGAGACACUUACUAAAGGAGGCCUCUGAAAAUGCUUCCGCUUGAAGAUGAGCUUGCGUCUGAUUAGCUAGUUGGUGAGGGUAAAGGCCCACCAAGGCGACGAUCAGUAGCCGGUCUGAGAGGAUGAACGGCCACAUUGGGACUGAGACACGGCCCAGACUCCUACGGGAGGCAGCAGUGGGGAAUCUUCCGCAAUGGGCGAAAGCCUGACGGAGCAACGCCGCGUGAACGAUGAAGGUCUUAGGAUCGUAAAGUUCUGUUGUUAGGGACGAAGGGUAAGAAUCAUAAUACGGUUUUUAUUUGACGGUACCUAACGAGGAAGCCACGGCUAACUACGUGCCAGCAGCCGCGGUAAUACGUAGGCGGCAAGCGUUGUCCGGAAUUAUUGGGCGUAAAGGGAGCGCAGGCGGGAAACUAAGCGGAUCUUAAAAGUGCGGGGCUCAACCCCGUGAUGGGGUCCGAACUGGUUUUCUUGAGUGCAGGAGAGGAAAGCGGAAUUCCCAGUGUAGCGGUGAAAUGCGUAGAUAUUGGGAAGAACACCAGUGGCGAAGGCGGCUUUCUGGACUGUAACUGACGCUGAGGCUCGAAAGCUAGGGUAGCGAACGGGAUUAGAUACCCCGGUAGUCCUAGCCGUAAACGAUGGAUACUAGGUGUGGGAGGUAUCGACCCCUUCCGUGCCGGAGUUAACGCAAUAAGUAUCCCGCCUGGGGAGUACGGCCGCAAGGUUGAAACUCAA
rnacentral:rRNA from 1 species